rnacentral:rRNA from 1 species
UCAGUUCGGACUGGAGUCUGCAACCCGACUCCACGAAGCUGGAUUCGCUAGUAAUCGCGCAUCAGCCACGGCGCGGCGAAUACGUUCCCGGGCCUUGUACACACCGCCCGUCAAGCCAUGGGAGCCGGGGGUACCUGAAGUGCGUAACCGCGAGGAUCGCCCUAGGGUAAAACUGGUGACUGGGGCUAAGUCGUAACAAGGUAGC